rnacentral:tRNA from 1 species
UGAGGUAUAGCUCAAGUGGUAGAGUGUCUGCUUCGCAUGCACAAGGUCCUGGGUUCAAUCCUCAGUACCUUCA